rnacentral:rRNA from 1 species
GACGUAGGGCGCGAGCGUUGUCCGGAUUUAUUGGGCGUAAAGAGCUCGUAGGCGGCUUGUUGCGUCGGCUGUGAAAACCCGCAGCUCAACUGUGGGCUUGCAGCCGAUACGGGCAGGCUUGAGUUCGGUAGGGGAGACUGGAAUUCCUGGUGUAGCGGUGAAAUGCGCAGAUAUCGGGAAGAACACCUGAGGCGAAGGCGGCUAUCUGGCGGUACAUUGACGCUGAUGCGCGAAAGCGUGGGGAGCAAACAGG